UCAUGAUGGCACACACCUGUAGUCCCAGCUACAGGAGGCUGAGGGCUCCAGAUUGGCCAACCUUAACAAGAAGCCUCUGUAAUCCAUACAAUUCAGCCUCCCAGGACACAGAGAAGGGUGGAGAAUGGUGAAAAGUGGAUUUUGAGGAGCAAAUAAAUAGAAGUAUUUUUACCUAAA